GAUGAACGCUGGCGGCGUGCCUAAUACAUGCAAGUCGAGCGAACGGACGAGAAGCUUGCUUCUCUGAUGUUAGCGGCGGACGGGUGAGUAACACGUGGAUAACCUACCUAUAAGACUGGGAUAACUUCGGGAAACCGUAGCUAAUACCGGAUAAUAUUUUGAACCGCAUGGUUCAAAAGUGAAAGACGGUCUUGCUGUCACUUAUAGAUGGAUCCGCGCUGCAUUAGCUAGUUGGUAAGGUAACGGCUUCCAAGGCAACGAUGCAUAGCCGACCUGAGAGGGUGAUCGGCCACACUGGAACUGAGACACGGUCCAGACUCCUACGGGAGGCAGCAGUAGGGAAUCUUCCGCAAUGGGCGAAAGCCUGACGGAGCAACGCCGCGUGAGUGAUGAAGGUCUUCGGAUCGUAAAACUCUGUUAUUAGGGAAGAACAUAUGUGUAAGUAACUGUGCACAUCUUGACGGUACCUAAUCAGAAAGCCACGGCUAACUACGUG
rnacentral:rRNA from 1 species